UUUAAUUUGUGCCUGAAUAAAAAACUGAGCCCUGAGCUAGAAGGAGCCCUGGGAGCCCUGGGAGUCCUGGGAGACAGUCAGCAGCCUGCAUGUGGUGAAGCACAUCGGUUCUUUCAAACCUGUUGGUUAAAUUUGAUUCAAGCUGGCUGGAGGAUUGACACCUCAAAAAUCGAUAAAAAGCAAAUAUCAGUAUGUUGAAGGCUACACUAAACUUCAGGAUCAGAACUUAUCACAAAGUACGCUCAAGUCAUCCUAGAAAAGGAAGGGACAAAGUGCAAUUGAAG
rnacentral:lncRNA from 1 species